AGGAUUUAAAAGUCGAACAGACUUAAAAUUUGAACUUCUACACCCAAUUUUAUCCUUAAUCCAACAUCGAGGUCGCAAUCUCUCUUGUCGAUUUGAACUCUCAAACAAAAUUACGCUGUUAUCCCUAAGGUAGCUUAUUCUUAUAAUCACUAUAAAUGGAUCAACAAAUCAUACAUUAAUGGUUUUAACUAUAAAGAGUUUAUUAAUUCUUUUCAUCACCCCAACAAAAUAAAUUUUAAUAUAAAUUAUAUAAACUUCUAAAAAUUAUAUUUAUAUAUUAUUUAUAAAGUUCUAUAGGGUCUUCUCGUCCUCCACUAUCAUUUAAGCUUUUUAACUCAAAAAUUAAAUUCUACUUAUUAUUAUUAGACAGUUAGUACUUCGUCAAACCAUUCAUUCCAGUUCCAAAUUAAAGAACUAAUGAUUAUGCUACCUUUGUACAGUCAAAAUACUGCAGCCCUUAAAUUACUUAUCAGUGGGCAGGCCAGACUUCAAAUUAUUUUCAAAAAGACAUGUUUUUGUUAAACAAGCGG
rnacentral:rRNA from 1 species